UAUCAGUCAUGCAUAGCAUAUCAAUAAGCGGAGGAAAAGAAACUAACAAGGAUUCCCCUUAGUAACGGCGAGUGAAGCGGGAAGAGCUCAAAUUUGAAAUCUUCAAGGGUUCUACCUUUACGAAUUGUAGUUUAAAGAAGUGUUUUCUGUUGGAGUUUUCGGUAAAAGUUCUUUGGAAUAGGACAUCAUAGAGGGUGAGAAUCCCGUAUUUGACCAGUUACUUUCCAGCUGUGUGAUACACUUUCAAAGAGUCGGAUUGUUUGGGAAUGCAGUCCAAAAUGGGUGGUAAAUUUCAUCUAAAGCUAAAUAUUGGCGAGAGACCGAUAGCGAACAAGUACCGUGAGGGAAAGAUGAAAAGAACUUUGAAAAGAGAGUUAAACAGUACGUGAAAUUGUCAAAAGGGAAGCGUUUGACACCAGUGUUGUUUUUCCGAAAAUCAAUUACUGAAUGGUUUGAUUUUUGAGGAAGUUAUGACUUCAUCGGCUUGCUUCCUCUCUUUAUGAAACUUUCUUAGUGCACUUUUCGGUUAACAAGUCAACAUCAAUUUCUUUUGUUGUAAAAGGGUAUGAGGAAGGUGGCUUUCUUUUCGGAGAAAGUGUUUAUAGCCUUGUGACCUCUGCAAUCGGAGAGAUUGAGGUCUGCAGCGUAGAUCCUUCGGGGUUAGAUACAUUUGUGCUAAGUUAUAGCUUUUCAUAGACAACUUGUUGACUAUGUUUAGUCUUGUAGCUUACUCGCUUAUGCUAUUUUACCUACGCUUAGGAUGUUGAUCUCUCACAGUCGAGC
rnacentral:rRNA from 1 species